rnacentral:rRNA from 1 species
GACGAACGCUGGCGGCGUGCUUAACACAUGCAAGUCGAACGGGAACGCCCUGCUUUGUUGGGCUGCUCUAGGUGCGAACGGGGAAGUAACACGUGAGUAACCUGCCCUUCACUUUGGGGUGACUUCAGGAAGCUGGGUCUAAUACCAGAUAGGAUCUCCUGCUGCUGGGUGGGGGUGGGAAGGUUUCGGUGGUUGGGGAUGGACUCGCGGCUUAUCAGCUUGUUGGUGGGGUAGUGGCUUACCAAGGCUUUGACAGGUAGCCGACCUGAGAGGGUGAGCGGCCCCAUUGGGCCUGAGCUACGACACAGCCUAGUAACGGAGGCAGGAGUGGGGAAUAUAGUACAAGGGGAGGAAGCAUGGCGCAGUAAAGCAGCGUGGGGGAUGACGUCAUUGGGGUUGUAAACCGCAUCCGCCUGUGACGAAGCGUGAGUGACGGUACCGGGUAAAGAAGCACCGGCUAACUCCGUG